GAUGAACGCUGGCGGCGUGCCUAAUACAUGCAAGUCGAGCGAACAGACGAGGAGCUUGCUCCUCUGACGUUAGCGGCGGACGGGUGAGUAACACGUGGAUAACCUACCUAUAAGACUGGGAUAACUUCGGGAAACCGGAGCUAAUACCGGAUAAUAUAUUGAACCGCAUGGUUCAAUAGUGAAAGACGGUUUUGCUGUCACUUAUAGAUGGAUCCGCGCCGCAUUAGCUAGUUGGUAAGGUAACGGCUUACCAAGGCAACGAUGCGUAGCCGACCUGAGAGGGUGAUCGGCCACACUGGAACUGAGACACGGUCCAGACUCCUACGGGAGGCAGCAGUAGGGAAUCUGCCGCAAUGGGCGAAAGCUUGACGGAGCAACGCCGCGUGAGUGAUGAAGGUCUUCGGAUCGUAAAACUCUGUUAUUGGGGAAGAACAAAUGUGUAAGUAACUAUGCACGUCUUGACGGUACCUAAUCAGAAAGCCACGGCUAACUACGUG
rnacentral:rRNA from 1 species